rnacentral:lncRNA from 1 species
GGUGGAUGUUUGUUGGAGCUUUAACGAGCAUCGUCUCGCAACUUCUGAAGUUUUGGGUCCUUCCUCCACAAAAUUUGCCCAUUGACUCUUCUUUCACUUAGUUGUCACUUCCAAGUAGGUUCGCAUCACUUCCGCUUUCGAUUGGCAUUUCGUUGGGAAAUGAAGCGGACAAUCUACUCUCAGUAGCACUGAUCACCGUUGGUGAGGAUUUGACAACUAUUAUCUUCCAU